rnacentral:rRNA from 1 species
UACGUAGGGGGCAAGCGUUGUCCGGAUUUAUUGGGCGUAAAGAGCGUGUAGGCGGCCAUACAGGUCAGCUGUGAAAACUCGAGGCUCAACCUCGAGACGCCGGUGGAAACCAUCAGACUAGAGUCCGGAAGAGGAGAGUGGAAUUCCUGGUGUAGCGGUGAAAUGCGCAGAUAUCAGGAAGAACACCCGUGGGCUAAGGCGGCUCCUCUAGUACGGUACUGACGCUGAGACGCGAAAGCGUGGGGAGCGAACAGG